UACGAAGGGGGCUAGCGUUGUUCGGAUUUACUGGGCGUAAAGCGCACGUAGGCGGAUCUUUAAGUCAGAGGUGAAAGCCCGGGGCUCAACCUCGGAAUUGCCUUCGAUACUGGGUAUCUUGAGUUCGGGAGAGGUGAGUGGAAUGCCGAGUGUAGAGGUGAAAUUCGUAGAUAUUCGGCGGAACACCAGUGGCGAAGGCGACUCACUGGCCCGAUACUGGCGCUGAUGCGCGAAAGCGUGGGGAGCAAACAGG
rnacentral:rRNA from 1 species